rnacentral:lncRNA from 1 species
AGCAAAGGAAUGACAGAACAGGACAGAUCAAAGCAAUGAGAAUGAUAACACAGAUCAGAUUCUACUCAGAGCUCUAAACCAGAUUUCAAAAGCAAAGAAAAGCUUCAAUUAUAAUCAGCAGAUCAUAACGCACAUUUGAUGGACAAAACCAGAGUUAUCAAUCAAGACAAGCAAGAAACAAAAGCUUUCAAGAACGUGAG